AUUGAACGCUGGCGGCAUGCCUUACACAUGCAAGUCGAACGGCAGCGCGGGAGCAAUCCUGGCGGCGAGUGGCGAACGGGUGAGUAAUACAUCGGAACGUGCCCAAUCGUGGGGGAUAACGCAGCGAAAGCUGUGCUAAUACCGCAUACGAUCUACGGAUGAAAGCAGGGGAUCGCAAGACCUUGCGCGAAUGGAGCGGCCGAUGGCAGAUUAGGUAGUUGGUGAGGUAAAGGCUCACCAAGCCUUCGAUCUGUAGCUGGUCUGAGAGGACGACCAGCCAACCGGGGAGUAAGAUGAGGCACGGACGAGGGCGCGAGUCAGCAGCGGGCAAGUUGGGACAAUGGGCGGAGUGCUGAUACAUGCAGGGUGCGGGGAGUAUGAGGGGCUUCAGGAUGUAAACGGCUGUGGAACGCAACGAAGCGGUCUUCUCCCAUAAAGAAGGGUAAGGACGGGGCCGGAAGAAUAAGCACAGGCUAACUUCGUC
rnacentral:rRNA from 1 species